GCGGAGCCCCGCGGACAUCGCCAGCGCGAAGCGCGCCCCAAGCUUGGCAUCCUCCUGCGGCUGGAGCAAGGCCAGAGUCACUGGAGGGACCCGACCCCGACACAUCCUUCCCUGGACCUGAAGCCAGAGGACAGCCCUGAGGAAGGAACCUUAAGGUAAUUGAGGCAGGUCCCCGGGAAUGCUGCCUGGGGUGAUAGCGAACAUGAGUUUCUAUUUUCCAAUCAAACAUUGAACACUCUAAACAACUGGAGGAUCUAAAAAUUAAAAAAAACAAAAACCAACAACUUAAGGCUUGAUAAAGUCCAGCUACGUAGCCAGCCAGGAAGCCCGGUCUCUGGUCUUCUCAGAGGUCCUGACCCUGCCUGCUGUCUGUGCCACCUCAUCGUUUCCCCUGUCGAGGGCCCCUGAGGCGGCAUUAGUUGGCCAGUCUCUCCUCCGUGCCAUCCCUGCAGAUGGUUGUAAGCAACCGAGAGCAGCAUCCGGGCUUCACACAGAAUCAUCUCUCUGAAACAACAACAACAACAAACAGGAGAGACCAGCCGAAAGAUGCCGUUUAAAAAUAAUGCGGUUACUCAUGGAACUGGAUGCGCUUUUGCAUGUGAAGGAGACGGGCAGGGAACUUUAGCUGAGGACCGGUGAGGACAUGACCCACGUUAGGCUCUUUUCUGCCUAACGACUCAGAGGCCAUCUCUCAUUGGCUGCAGGAGAGAGCUUCUCUCCAUCCCAUUGGAUGGGACUUUACCAGCGGGCCCUUAGUCCUCUGCUAAACCCGUGGCAGGUACUCCAUUGUGGUCCAAGUGGCUGCAGCUUGGGAGUCCAGAAAUCCAGGUUCUAGAGCUGCCCCAUGUCCCCGACAGAAAAGCAGUUAUCCCAUACCAGUGACACCAGCAUCUUUGCCUCCUUCAAGAGCACCAUUGUCUCAAGCAGCAGGGGUACAGCGCCUUCUUCUUCUGCUUGUUCAGGACCUGGCCACAAACCCAAGGGCAGGCUGAGUCCAGAAUCCAGGGUCUCAGAACAGCAGAGUGCAGGCUUGCCUGGACCCGGCUUCCUGGGAAAACAGGGUUCUGAGGGAGGCCUGGAUGAGCCGAAAAGGAUCUUCUCUCGUUUGCAGUUAGAAGACAAUUAAGACAGGAUCCAGUACAGCUUCGUGUUAAAAGCCAGUCACUGCUGAAUUCCUCAUGGGUAGGAGGAGGAUGGGAAGUGAGGAGGCAUGACAUGCAUGUGGGGGAAAUCUUAGCUGGUGGUUAAUUGCAUGAUUUAAGUUCCAUAGGGCUCUGCACCCCCUGGGGAGACCCGGCUUCCACACUACAUGCUUAAUCCCUGGAGAAUGUCACUGUCACUCAGGGGCCUCAGCCAGGCAAUCGGUGCCUCUGGGAGAGAGGGGAUUCCUUCAUCCCAACCCUCCCCCAGCACCCUCCUCUGUCUCCUCUUUUCACCUGCCUGCCUGUCUGUCUGUCAGGCCAGUUGGUCGUCAGAGCAUAAACAUUUCAGGCUGUGUGCCCACCAGCUCUGGGAUCAGGUGACCAUUAUGGAAGGCUACACCGGAGGCCUCUGCAUGCCAGCAUGUCGCCAGGAACAGUGAGAGCCUGUGAUGUGCUGACCUCACAGAGUGGGCACCCGUGCAGCUGGCCUGGAGUGAGUGCCUCUCCCUGGUAUGGCUUCUUUGAUCAUCCCUAGGCCGCCCUGCAGGCACAGGAAGCCCUGCUGGUUCUCUCUCUGGACAGAUGGUAGGUCUACAAGCUGUUAGUGCAGUCCCUUUGCCUCUUGGAACCUCUGUGUCACUUUCUGAAAGACAGAAGCAGAGCCAGGUGUGGUGGCACAUGCAAGUUUCUUGAUCAGGAGGUGGAGGCAGGAGAAUUGGGGUUUCAAAGUCAUUUUUGGCUACUUAGGGAGUUUGAGGCAAGCCUGGAUCACAUGAGACUCUGACUCAGAAAAACAAAAAGAAAACAAUGAGGUUACUGUGAGGGUGAAAUGAAAAAACAGGACAAUGUCAUCUGGCUUCUGAUGGGACUCAGUAA